UACGUAGGUGGCGAGCGUUGUCCGGAUUUACUGGGCGUAAAGAGCGCGCAGGCGGUCGUACAAAUCGCGUGUGAAAGCCCCCGGCUCAACUGGGGAGGGUCACGCGAUACUGUUCGACUCGAAGGCAGGAGAGGGAAGUGGAAUUCCUGGUGUAGCGGUGAAAUGCGCAGAUAUCAGGAGGAACACCAAUGGCGAAGGCAGCACUCUGGGACGUGACUGACGCUGAGACGCGAAAGCGUGGGGAGCAAACAGG
rnacentral:rRNA from 1 species